GGUGGUGGUGCAUGGCCGUUCUUAGUUGGUGGAGCGAUUUGUCUGGUUAAUUCCAAUAAUGAACGAGACUCUGGCAUGCUAACUAGUUUCGUGACCCCCGAGUGGUCGGCGUCCCCCAACUUCUUAGAGGGACAAGUGGCGUUCAGCCACCUGAGAUUGAGCAAUAACAGGUCUGUGAUGCCCUUAGAUGUCCGGGGCUGCAUGUGCGCUACACUGACUGGCUCAGUGUGUGCCUACCCUAUGCCGGCAGGCGCGGGUAACCUGUUGAACCCCAUUCUUGAUGUGAUUGGGGAUUGCAAUUAUUCCCCAUGAACGAGGAAUUCCCAGUAAGUGCGGGUCAUAAGCUUGCGUUGAUUAAGUCUCCCUGCCCUUUGUACACACUGCACGUCGCUACUACCGAUUGGAUGGUUUAGUGAGGCCCUCGGAUCGGCCCCGCCGGGGUCGGCCC
rnacentral:ncRNA from 1 species